rnacentral:tRNA from 1 species
GGAAGGGUCGCAUAGUGGCUAUUGCAUCAGCCUCGAAAACUGACGCCCUUUGGGCAUCGCGGGUUCGAGUCCCGCCCCUUCCGCCA